rnacentral:rRNA from 1 species
AGUGAACGCUGGCGGUAGGCCUAACACAUGCAAGUCGAACGGCAGCACAGUAAGAGCUUGCUCUUACGGGUGGCGAGUGGCGGACGGGUGAGGAAUACAUCGGAAUCUACUUUUUCGUGGGGGAUAACGUAGGGAAACUUACGCUAAUACCGCAUACGACCUACGGGUGAAAGCAGGGGAUCUUCGGACCUUGCGCGAUUGAAUGAGCCGAUGUCGGAUUAGCUAGUUGGCGGGGUAAAGGCCCACCAAGGCGACGAUCCGUAGCUGGUCUGAGAGGAUGAUCAGCCACACUGGAACUGAGACACGGUCCAGACUCCUACGGGAGGCAGCAGUGGGGAAUAUUGGACAAUGGGCGAAAGCCUGAUCCAGCCAUACCGCGUGGGUGAUGAAGGCCUUCGGGUUGUAAAGCCCUUUUGUUGGGAAAGAAAAGCAGCAGGUUAAUACCCCGCUGUUCUGACGGUACCCAAAGAAUAAGCACCGGCUAACUUCGUG